GUUUUCAGCCGGAAAGUAACAUCAGAUUUGCCCUUUGACGAGAAGGUUCUGGCUGUUCCAUGUGAUGGAUUAGAGAGGCUGGAGCUGGCAAUUCGAUGAGUCGGGAGACAGAGUGAAGGCUUGGGGUGAGAGAGUGUAAGUUGAUGGCAUCAGUGUAAGGGGAGCCGGGGUUCCCAGCUUGGUCGAGAGGCGGAAGGUGGCUCAUGCACUGAGCCGGGGAUACAGACAGAACAGGUUUGUGUCAAUGGCCUGUAUUGCCUUUUGGGGAUUUGAGUUGUUUGGCCUGGACUGAAAUUAGGGUUCCUGUGGGACGGCCACAUGGUUAUGGACCGGAUCACCCCAGAGAGUCUGCAAGGUGAGACGUGGGCUGUGGACCAAAGCAGAGAAGUAUCAGCCAAAGGAAUGAAUCCUUGACGGGGAUGAAAAUAGAAUAGCCAGAGGUGAGAAGCAAACCUGGAAGCCUGGCCCGAAUACUUAUGGAGCAGGAGGAAGGGCAUAGAUGCCACAGAGAGGCAGAGGAAGCCACUUGUCCAGAGGGCUGGGGAACACGAGGUCCUCGGUGACCUUGGUGGGCAGGGCUGAAGGGGUGAUGUGGUUGGUGGGGUGAGCAGUCGAUGGCGGUGGGAAGAGCAGACGGCCACUUCCAUUCCCGCUAAGGAGUGGGUAGCCUGGAGCGGGGCCAGCCCCGGAAGACGUGCAGCCUCAGCCCACAGCAGGUCAAGCCUCUUGGAAGUGACCGCCAAGGGGGCCGCAGGGAAAAGGCAGUCCUGUCAGCCCCACCGGGGAGGGGCGGAGCUCCCCAAGAUGCCCUCGGGGUAGAAUGAAGGCCCAGUCCACCCCCCCACCCCCCCAUUUCUCAGGCUCUUUCACAUAGGUAAGAACCUUGGGGGCUUUUUCUCCCUGAGAAAGGUCUUUUGGUCUCUAAAGUAAGGUUUUUAAAAAUUGAUGUAUAUGGGGCUUUUCCCCCUCAUGUGAAUUUUGAGCCCGAUGACAUGUUUUCUUUGUUUUUCCUCCUUUCAUUUGGUUUUUCCAUUUCUCAGAUUCCAGACAUGUGUUCUUCCCUCUAUGUUUGAAAGACGUGUUCAUUUCAUUUCCUAUUCUAGAUGCUCCUAAAUUGAGAUCCUAAAAUAACUAGUAGACUCUCUUAAAAAAGCAACAUUUUGCAGUUUUAUCGUGACUAUUCUUACAGUCUGAAUAAAAUACUUUGUUUACGGAACAAGGGAGAGCCAUACAUUUUGCUGGACUGAGGAGAUACACACACACACACACACACACACAUAUGUAUACCAUUAAUGUAAAAACCAAAAACCUCAGAAUCAUCCUAUAAUUGAUAAGUUUGGUACAAAUUAUAUGUCAAAAUAUCUGUAAAACAAGCAGAAGAAAGAAAAAUAUUCACAACAUAUGUGAAAGGGGCUCAUUUUCUUAUUAUAUAAAUGGUUUUACAAAUCCUUAAGUUAUAAAAAGAAACUGAUAGAAAAUGGGCACAGCUCAUGAAGAGAAACAAGAGAAAAUAAAAAUAUACCUCAGUCUAGCAUAAAGUCCGUAGAAGAUAAAAAGUGAUAUUGGCAGAGAUUCUUUAAAAAGUGAUAAUACCCCACGUUGGCCAGAGUGUGGAGGGUGGUGGGGGGGUGGAGGAACAACUAACUGUUGGGAGUUCCCAUCGUGGCUCAGCGGAAACGAACCCAACUAGGAUCCAUGAGGACGAGGGUUCGAUCCCUGGCCUCAGUGGGUUAAGGGUCCGGUGUUGCUGUGAACUGCGGCGUAGGUCACAGAUGAUGCAGCUCAGAUCCUGCAUUACUGUGGCUGUGGUGUAGGCCAGCAACUACCGUUCCUAUUCGACCCCUAGCCUGUGCAUUUCUGUAUGCUGCAGGUGCAGCCCUAAAAAGACAAAAAAUAAUGAGGAUGCAGGUUUAAUCCCUGACUUCGCUCCAGUGGAUUAAGGAUCUGUCAUUGCUGUGAGCUGUGGUGUAGUAACCUAUUUUCCUAUUAAUUUAAAUAAACGUACUGGCACAUAGUAUGUUCCAACAAAUCAGACGAAAUCCCCAGUUUAAAUCUCACUUCUCAUACUUAUGUAUCCUAUCAUCUUGGACAAGCUCUCUAAGCCUGUUUCCUCCUUUGUAAAAUUUGGGGAGCAAUACCUCAAGUAGUUCAGCAGUUGAUAGUAAACACUCCGUAAAUAAUAGCCACUUGUCAUUACCAUCAAGAGAUAAAUAGUAAUGCGUUACUGUCCUUAGCAAGUGACCCCUGACGCUGCGUGAACGUGCUCGUGAUCAGUCAGAGAUCACGAGAAAGCAGCUCAGCCCGGUGUACUCGAAAAGGUGUUGGACUUCUUGUAGAGAAGGCAGGUUAGCAAAGAUGGAACAGGAAGAUUUCUGCCACUUUUCAGAUAAACCUGAAGACAAGUUUCUUAGGUUGUAUCCUAGUGGAGGCCAGAUUACAGCAGUAUUUCUUUGUGAUCCGGGUUACUUUGCCACCUGGCAGCCUCCCUGGCUUCAUCAAAAGCCUCAUGCCUUGCC
ensembl:lncRNA